GAGUUUGAUCCUGGCUCAGAUUGAACGCUGGCGGCGGGCUUAACACAUGCAAGUCGAGGGGUGAAAAAUCGGUUUCGGCCGUAACACGACCGGCGAACGGGUGAGUAACGCGUAUGGAAUCUACCCUUAUCAGGAGGAUAGCCCGAAGAAAUUCGGAUUAAUACUCCAUAACACUUCGAUACUCCUGUAAAGAAGUUAAAAGUUUCGACGGAUAAGGAUGAUCAUGCGUCACAUUAGCUAGUUGGUAAGGUAAGGGCUUACCAAGGCGAUGAUCUGUAGGGGCCCUGAGAGGGAGACCCCCCACACUGGUACUGAGACACGGACCAGACUUCUACGGGAGGCAGCAGUGAGGAAUAUUGCGCACUGGGCGAAAGCCUGACGCAGCCCACGUCGCGGUGUAGGAAGACAGCCUUAUGGGUCGUAAACUACUUUUGUAUGGAAAGAAACCUUCUUACGUGUAAGAAGCUGACGGUACCAUACGAAUAAGCAUCGGCUAACUCCGUGCCAGCAGCCGCGGUAAUACGGAGGAUGCAAGCGUUAUUCGGAAUUAUUGGGCGUAAAGGGCGUGUAGGCGGCUUGAUAAGCCAAAGGUGAAAUCCCUCAGCUCAACUGAGGAACUGCCUUUGGAACUGUCUGGCUAGAGGCCAGGAGAGGGUAGCGGAAUUCCCAGUGUAGCGGUGAAAUGCGUAGAUAUUGGGAGGAACACCAGUGGCGAAGGCGGCUACCUGGACUGGUACUGACGCUGAGGCGCGAAAGCGUGGGGAGCAAACAGGAUUAGAUACCCUGGUAGUC
rnacentral:rRNA from 1 species